UUCAUUCAAAAUAAAGCUGCUCUUUUGUCUUGAAGUAUCAGAAGAGGAGGAACUCCAGAUCUGACAUGAUCUAAUCGAGUCUGAAAGAGACUGUGGAUGAAACGAUUCAGUCUGACUCUUCUCAGAGUGAACACUUGAACAAUGAAUCUUCAUUCACUUAUUCUGCUCUGUGUCUCAACCACUGCUGUAUUUGGAAAUAUCAUCAAACCAGAUGAAACAGAUGUAGUUGCUGAGAAGGGUUCAAGUGCUACAUUAUCCUGUAGUUAUUCCUCUACAACUACAGAAACUCUCUUCUGGUACCGUCAGUAUGGAAGAUCAAAACCUGAAUUUCUUGUUUCCACCUUCAGUACUGCAACAAAUCCUGAAGAAUCUAAAGUAGAUCCAAGAUUCUCUGUUAAAGUAACAAAAAAGGAACAAAUCCACAUGGAUCUGAUCAUCUCCUCUGCUGCAGUAUCAGACUCUGCUCUGUAUUACUGUGCUCUGAGGCCCACAGUCACAGGAAACACAAGAACACUGUACAAAAACCUGCUAGAUGAGAGAGAGAUGAGAGAACAUUUCUUGAGAAAGAAACUAGUAUACAAAUAAUUUCAUAAUCUAAUG